UGUGGCCUGUCAUAGAGGUGGACUUUGAGGUUUCAAAAGUCAUUGCCAAGGCCAGUCUUGCUCCCUGUCUUCCUGCAGUUUGCAGAUUACAUGAGCUCUUAGCUACAGCUACAGCACCUUGCCUUCCAGGUACCAAGAUCCCCGCCAUGAUGGCCAUGGACUCGCCCUCUGAAACUAUUUAUUUUAAGCUCAGGGGGUGGUCUGUGUACAUGUGCCCGUGGAGGUCCGAAGAGGGUGUUGGAGGCCCUGGAACUGGAGUGAUGAAGAGAUGUGGCUUGCCACAUGGGUGCUGGGAAUGGAACCUGGCUCCUCUGCAAGAACAACAAAUGCUCUCAACAGCUGAGCCCAUCCCCAGCCCAUCGUUUCCGUUCUGUAUGAUUGUUGUGGUGUGUUUCCCAGAACAUAGGUCACAUAUUUCUCCCAUGCAAUAUGUUGAAUGCAUGCCUGGGAAUGGAAUUGCCAGACCUCGGGAUUUACAAACCUUCAGCAUUAGAGUGAUUAGAGUCAUUAGAGUGAAGGUCAUGCCAUGGUCAGGGUUUCAAGUGAUAAGUAGCCUCCGUCCAUAGAAUUGAGAUCAGUGUAUGGACAGGGUUGAGAGUCAUACAGAAAGCUAGUUAAAGAGAAUCCAUGGGCAAGGUUGGGAACAUGAGUGGCCACCUUGGUGAAAAUUUGCAACUUGGGUUUGGACAAGUUUGUAGGACACUGGAAGGAGGCGAUGGGGGUCACCCAGUGCUAGAAGCAGGCUGUCACACUUCCCAAACUCUGUCCACUGGCAGUAUCAUCUAUCUAAUAAGACAUGAGACCCAUCCUGGGUCCACGGGGUCUUUAGGAGGACAGCUAGGUGAAAGCGAUAAAGGACAAGGCAGGAACUCGCUGCCUUUCGGACCCAUACAGACAGAAAGAAAAUGCAGGCACAGGAAAGAACGCACAACACCACUUUUAAUAGAGACGACUCUGUUCUGUCUUCCCCAGGCACUCCUUGUAUUGUUCCGUGCGGAAAAGGCUAUUGCACACAGCUGGAUGCCUCUUACUCCUGGUUUCUUCAACACCUUAUCCUUUCCUCUCCAGCUGCAGUGGUCUCCAGCCCUGAGAUGGGUCCCAUGUAAGCACCCAGGAGGGGCAAGAGAAUCCCUCCACUUCCGGGGGUAGCUGCUCCCGUGUACGAGGCCAAGGAGAAUUAGAAUGGUUGGAGACAGGACUGUCCUCUGAGCUGAGAAAGGAACCAGAGGACCGCCUCUCCAGGCCCAGCGCUGGGAGCCUCAAAGUGGACACGGUUUGGGAGGUCAUGCCGUGUGUCCGCACAGGUUUUCUGGGCUGUGGAAAGUGGUCUUUUCUCCUGGCCCGGAUGGAGUGUAAGGAGGAGGAUCAAUCCCAGGUCUCGGCUUUGAACACCCCCAAGUUCGCCCAAACCCUCCGCGUCCGAGCGCCGCUGCUGCAGGGGGCGCCAGUGAGCAGCUCGCUCCGCCCUCCCAAUCCUGCGUCCGCAGGACCUGGGUGGGGGCGCAGAGAGGCAAGCCUGAAGACCUGUUGCUCUGCCAGCGUUUUGCCUCAAGCUGCUUCUUAGGCCUUAGUGUCCCCUCCUCACCUGCA